rnacentral:rRNA from 1 species
GCCUAAAGCGUCCGUAGCCGGCUCUGUAAGUUUUCGGUUAAAUCUGUACGCUUAACGUACAGGCUGCCGGGAAUACUGCAGGGCUAGGGAGUGGGAGAGGUAGACGGUACUCGGGAGGAAGUGGUAAAAUGCUUUGAUCUCUCGAUGACCACCUGUGGCGAAGGCGGUCUACCAGAACACGUCCGACGGUGAGGGAUGAAAGCUGGGGGAGCAAACCGGAUUAGAUACCCGGGUAGUCCCAGCUGUAAACUAUGCAAACUCAGUGAUGCAUUGGCUUGUGGCCAAUGCAGUGUUGCAGGGAAGCCGUUAAGUUUGCCGCCUGGGAAGUACGUACGCAAGUAUGAAACUUAAAGGAAUUGGCGGGGGAGCACCACAAGGGGUGAAGCCUGCGGUUCAAUUGGAGUCAACGCCAGAAAUCUUACCCGGAGAGACAGCAGAAUGAAGGUCAAGCUGAAGACUUUACCAGACAAGCUGAGAGGUGGUGCAUGGCCGUCGCCAGCUCGUGCCGUGAGAUGUCCUGUUAAGUCAGGUAACGAGCGAGAUCCCUGCCUCUAGUUGCCACCAUUACUCUCAGGAGUAGUGGGGCGAAUUAGCGGGACCGCCGCAGUUAAUGCGGAGGAAGGAAGGGGCCACGGCAGGUCAGUAUGCCCCGAA